rnacentral:rRNA from 1 species
UACAGAGGUCCCAAGCGUUGUUCGGAUUCAUUGGGCGUAAAGGGUGCGUAGGCGGCGCGGUAAGUCGGGUGUGAAAUUUCGGAGCUUAACUCCGAAACUGCAUUCGAUACUGCGGUGCUCGAGGACUGGAGAGGAGACUGGAAUUCAUGGUGUAGCAGUGAAAUGCGUAGAGAUCAUGAGGAAGACCAGUGGCGAAGGCGGGUCUCUGGACAGUUCCUGACACUGAGGCACGAAGGAAAGGGGAGCAAACGGG